rnacentral:rRNA from 1 species
AGUGAACGCUGGCGGUAGGCCUAACACAUGCGAGUCGAACGGCAGCACAGUAAGAGCUUGCUCUUACGGGUGGCGAGUGGCGGACGGGUGAGGAAUACAUCGGAAUCUACUUUUUCGUGGGGGAUAACGUAGGGAAACUUACGCUAAUACCGCAUACGACCUACGGGUGAAAGCAGGGGAUCUUCGGACCUUGCGCGAUUGAAUGAGCCGAUGUCGGAUUAGCUAGUCGGCGGGGUAAAGGCCCACCAAGGCGACGAUCCGUAGCUGGUCUGAGAGGAUGAUCAGCCACACUGGAACUGAGACACGGUCCAGACUCCUACGGUAGGCAGCAGUGGGGAAUAUUGGACAAUGGGCGCAAGCCUGAUCCAGCCAUACCGCGUGGGUGAAGAAGGCCUUCGGGUUGUAAAGCCCUUUUGUUGGGAAAGAAAAGCAGCAGGUUAAUACCCCGCUGUUCUGACGGUACCCAAAGAAUAAGCACCGGCUAACUUCGUG